GUGUCGUGAGAUGUUGGGUUAAGUCCCGCAACGAGCGCAACCCUUGUUCCAUGUUGCCAGCAACCUCUUCGGAGGUUGGGGACUCAUGGGAGACUGCCGGGGUCAACUCGGAGGAAGGUGGGGAUGACGUCAAGUCAUCAUGCCCCUUAUGUCUUGGGCUGCAAACAUGCUACAAUGGCCGGUACAGAGGGCUGCUAAGCCGUAAGGUGGAGCGAAUCCCUAAAAGCCGGCCUCAGUUCGGAUUGGGGUCUGCAACUCGACCCCAUGAAGUCGGAGUCGCUAGUAAUCGCAGAUCAGCAACGCUGCGGUGAAUACGUUCCCGGGCCUUGUACACACCGCCCGUCACGUCACGAAAGUCGGCAACACCCGAAGCCCGUGGCCCAACCAGCUUGCUGGGGGGAGCGUCAAGUGGG
rnacentral:rRNA from 1 species